AAUUGCCCUGAUGUGGGGGAUAACCAUUGGAAACGAUGGCUAAUACCGCAUGAUGCCUACGGGCCAAAGAGGGGGACCUUCGGGCCUCUCGCGUCAGGAUAUGCCCAGGUGGGAUUAGCUAGUUGGUGAGGUAAGGGCUCACCAAGGCGACGAUCCCUAGCUGGUCUGAGAGGAUGAUCAGCCACACUGGAACUGAGACACGGUCCAGACUCCUACGGGAGGCAGCAGUGGGGAAUAUUGCACAAUGGGCGCAAGCCUGAUGCAGCCAUGCCGCGUGUGUGAAGAAGGCCUUCGGGUUGUAAAGCACUUUCAGUUGUGAGGAAGGUGGUGUCGUUAAUAGCGGCAUCAUUUGACGUUAGCAACAGAAGAAGCACCGGCUAACUCCGUGCCAGCAGCCGCGGUAAUACGGAGGGUGCGAGCGUUAAUCGGAAUUACUGGGCGUAAAGCGCAUGCAGGUGGUUUGUUAAGUCAGAUGUGAAAGCCCGGGGCUCAACCUCGGAACUGCAUUUGAAACUGGCAGACUAGAGUACUGUAGA
rnacentral:rRNA from 1 species